rnacentral:lncRNA from 7 species
UCCAUGCCGUUCCCUCAGGACCUGUCGCAGACCCCAGAGAGCAGAGCUCAGCACUCUCCCUCCACUCCCUGUGAAGAGCUGCAGCUGCCAACAAGACCUCUCCUCAGCCUGCUCUGCUCUGGGCUGAACAAACCCAGGAACCUCAGCCACUUUUUCCAGACUGUAGUCUUAAGGCUUAGCCAUUCUGUAAAUAAUAAAAUACAACCACCUCCAGUAUUUGCUUCUCUCAGAGACGCUUCUUUAUGGCUUUGGUUCAUAGCAUAUACAAGAGAAAAGAAACUCAACACAGGGUGCUGACAGUCGUCAUCUUCUGCAGUAAAAGCUCCUUUUUCGAGGAGUAUUCACAUUGAACUUCCACAGAUGCACUGACUGCUAUAGCACUUCAGCUACGUAUGACUCUUUCAGGUGUAAUGUAUGACACUAAGCAAGGACAGAAGCUAUUAAGACAUGCAGAUAACCCAUCAAGCCAGCACUAGAAAGCAGCAAGAUAUAACUGAUCAUCAGUAGAGGCAUCUCACAAAAGAAAAUGUUGGCUGGUAACGAGGACGGGGCCCAAGAGCAUAUGGGACUGGGCUCCCUCUUACAAGACCAGCAGCAACUUCAGCCAGUCGUCUGCAAGUCUCUAAACAGACUGAGAAAACAUGCUUGGACUCCACAGCGUCAGACUCAGAUCAAAGGCAGUCACUAUCCUGCUACCCAAAAGACAAGCUCUGUUCACCUCGCUCUUGAACUUUUUGUGCUGCAUCAUAUAUUUAAAACACUUGGAGCUGCAUGAAUGGAUACCAGGAAACACAGAUGAAAUGAGAAAAAGAAUGGAAAAGUCCAGACACAGGUGAAGACUUUGGUCUGAGAAUAUAGUAAGGUACGUGACAGUUUUUGGACAAAUCACUGCUUGCAACUGACAUAGCUAAGGAAGCUCCAGAACAAUUUUCAUCCAUAAACACAGGUUAGAGACAUCCUGUCUUUUUUCCAGUUUACACAAUGAAUUCACAAGACCCAAAAUGUUAGUUU